UUUAAAAUUGUCUUUCUGAAAGUUAUUAGAAGCAAAGUAAAAAGAUAAAUGAAUUUAUUUGAACAAGUGAAGACCAAGUCUUUAAAAUAUUUUCUUGGAUUUUCAAAUUCUAUUUGAGUUUUGUCUCUCUUAGAAUUAAAAAUGUCGAGCAAAGCGAGACCAACUUGGUAGUAAAUGAAUACAAUUUUAAAAACAGAGGCAGCUCACUGGUAAGUGCUGCUAUUUGAGCUAUUUUUAGAACAGGCCAACGGGCGACUCAUCUGGUCCUUACGGGCUACCUGGUGCCCGCGGGCAACGCGUUGGUGACCCCUGCUUUACAUGAUGGCAUGUUAACAAAAAUAAAGACUUAAAGUGCUGUUUGCAAACUUUACACCGGGCCUUAAAUUAAGCGGUGUUUGCAUUAGAUCCCGCCUUCUUCCGGCUUUACCCUUAUUGUUUACACCUUUGGCCCCGCCCCUGAAUUAGCCUUGAUUGACGUCAGGUUAUCGCGCAUGCGCAUAUGCUAUCGCUAUCCGUCAAUGCCUCAAAUCAACGAGAGUCAUCUGGACCUGCAAGUCACUAUCAACUUCAAGUUCAAGUCUUACUUCUUUUGAAACGUGUUUCCUUCUAAAAAUGGACAGAAGGAGAGUGGACACCAUCUCUGCCCGCGUGGACGCUGUUGUCUCGUCUUCAGUGCCUGGCUGGUAAUUGGUUCCUAGUCGGUCCCAAAGCACAGCGUCCACAACCUCAAGAAUUGGGUCGAUAAACCACACGAAGAACAAAAUGAGGUCACAUGGAGAAGAGCUUUUUACCAUAGCGCUGGGUACUCGUUAUGACUGCUGACUUUAAUGUGCUUACAGUAUGGAUGUCUGCUUUGUCGGUC